rnacentral:rRNA from 1 species
GACGAACGCUGGCGGCGUGCCUAACACAUGCAAGUCGAACGGAGAAAUUCAGCAAUGGAUUUCUUAGUGGCGAACGGGUGAGUAACGCGUAGAUAACCUGCCUCUAAGAUGGGGACAACAACUCGAAAGGGUUGCUAAUACCGAAUGUGAACAGUGUCUCGCAUGGGAUGCUGUUUGAAGGUGGCCUCUGAAUAUGCUACCGCUUAGAGAUGGGUCUGCGUCUGAUUAGCUAGUUGGAGGGGUAAUGGCCCACCAAGGCGACGAUCAGUAGCCGGUCUGAGAGGAUGAACGGCCACACUGGGACUGCGACACGGCCCAGACUCCUACGGGAGGCAGCAGUGGGGAAUAUUGCACAAUGGGCGCAAGCCUGAUGCAGCCAUGCCGCGUGUAUGAAGAAGGCCUUCGGGUUGUAAAGUACUUUCAGCGGGGAGGAAGGCGGUGAAGUUAAUAGCUUCACCGAUUGACGUUACCCGCAGAAGAAGCACCGGCUAACUCCGUGCCAGCCGCCGCGGUAA